GAUGAACGCUGGCGGCGUGCCUAAUACAUGCAAGUCGAGCGAACGGACGAGAAGCUUGCUUCUCUGAUGUUAGCGGCGGACGGGUGAGUAAUACGUGGAUAACCUACCUAUAAGACUGGGAUAACUUCGGGAAACCGGAGCUAAUACCGGAUAAUAUUUUGAACCGCAUGGUUCAAAAGUGAAAGACGGUCUUGCUGUCACUUAUAGAUGGAUCCGCGCUGCAUUAGCUAGUUGGUAAGGUAACGGCUUACCAAGGCAACGAUGCAUAGCCGACCUGAGAGGGUGAUCGGCCACACUGGAACUGAGACACGGUCCAGUCUCCUACGGGAGGCAGCAGUAGGGAAUCUUCCGCAAUGGGCGAAAGCCUGACGGAGCAACGCCGCGUGAGUGAUGAAGGUCUUCGGAUCGUAAAACUCUGUUAUUAGGGAAGAACAUAUGUGUAAGUAACUGUGCACAUCUUGACGGUACCUAAUCAGAAAGCCACGGCUAACUACGUG
rnacentral:rRNA from 1 species